CGUUGAAGCAUCAGUUCUCAUACAAUCACCUAAGUUAAGCAACAUCAAGCUUGGUCAGUACAUAGAUGGGUGACCACUUGGGAAUUCCAGGUGCUGUAAG